rnacentral:rRNA from 1 species
CUCGUAGGCGGCCAACUAAGUCAGACGUGAAAUCCCUCAGCUUAACUGGGGAACUGCGUCUGAUACUGGAUGGCUUGGAUUCGGGAGAGGAAUGCGGAGUUCCAGGUGUAGCGGUGAAAUGCGUAGAUAUCUGGAGGAACACCGGUGGCGAAGGCGGCAUUCUGGACCGAUAUUGACGCUGAGGAGCGAAAGCCAGGGGAAGCAAAC